UCCCUGCUGUCUCAGAUGGUAAAGAAUCUGCCUACAAUUCAGGAGACCCAGGUUCAAUCCCUGGGUUGGGAA
rnacentral:tRNA from 1 species